UACGAAGGGGGCUAGCGCUGUUCGGAAUUACUGGGCGUAAAGCGCGCGCAGGCGGUCUUCCAAGUCAGUGGUGAAAGCCCGGAGCUCAACUCCGGAACUGCCAUUGAAACUGUAAGACUUGAGGAUGAGAGAGGUGAGUGGAAUUCCCAGUGUAGAGGUGAAAUUCGUAGAUAUUGGGAAGAACACCGGUGGCGAAGGCGGCUCACUGGCUCAUUUCUGACGCUCAGGCGCGACAGCGUGGGGAUCAAACAGG
rnacentral:rRNA from 1 species